AAUCCAUAGGUUAAUGAGGCGAACCGGGGGAACUGAAACAUCUAAGUACCCCGAGGAAAAGAAAUCAACCGAGAUUCCCCCAGUAGCGGCGAGCGAACGGGGAGGAGCCCAGAGCCUGAAUCAGCAUGUGUGUUAGUGGAAGCGUCUGGAAAGGCGCGCGAUACAGGGUGACAGCCCCGUACACAAAAGCGCAUGUGCUGUGAGCUCGAUGAGUAGGGCGGGACACGUGGUAUCCUGUCUGAAUAUGGGGGGACCAUCCUCCAAGGCUAAAUACUCCUGACUGACCGAUAGUGAACCAGUACCGUGAGGGAAAGGCGAAAAGAACCCCGGCGAGGGGAGUGAAAAAGAACCUGAAACCGUGUACGUACAAGCAGUGGGAGCACAGGUUUACCUGUGUGACUGCGUACCUUUUGUAUAAUGGGUCAGCGACUUAUAUUCUGUAGCAAGGUUAACCGAAUAGGGGAGCCGGAGGGAAACCGAGUCUUAAUUGGGCGUUAAGUUGCAGGGUAUAGACCCGAAACCCGGUGAUCUAGCCAUGGGCAGGUUGAAGGUUGGGUAACACUAACUGGAGGACCGAACCGACUAAUGUUGAAAAAUUAGCGGAUGACCUGUGGCUGGGGGUGAAAGGCCAAUCAAACCGGGAGAUAGCUGGUUCUCCCCGAAAGCUAUUUAGGUAGCGCCUCGUGAAUUCAUCUCCGGGGGUAGAGCACUGUUUCGGCUAGGGGGCCAUCCCGGCUUACCAACCCGAUGCAAACUGCGAAUACCGGAGAAUGUUAUCACGGGAGACACACGGCGGGUGCUAACGUCCGUCGUGAAGAGGGAAACAACCCAGACCGCCAGCUAAGGUCCCAAAGUCAUGGUUAAGUGGGAAACGAUGUGGGAAGGCCCAGACAGCCAGGAUGUUGGCUUAGAAGCAGCCAUCAUUUAAAGAAAGCGUAAUAGCUCACUGGUCGAGUCGGCCUGCGCGGAAGAUGUAACGGGGCUAAACCAUGCACCGAAGCUGCGGCAGCGACGCUUAUGCGUUGUUGGGUAGGGGAGCGUUCUGUAAGCCUGUGAAGGUGUGUCGUGAGGCAUGCUGGAGGUAUCAGAAGUGCGAAUGCUGACAUAAGUAACGAUAAAGCGGGUGAAAAGCCCGCUCGCCGGAAGACCAAGGGUUCCUGUCCAACGUUAAUCGGGGCAGGGUGAGUCGACCCCUAAGGCGAGGCCGAAAGGCGUAGUCGAUGGGAAACGGGUUAAUAUUCCCGUACUUGGUGUUACUGCGAAGGGGGGACGGAGAAGGCUAUGUUGGCCGGGCGACGGUUGUCCCGGUUUAAGCGUGUAGGCUGGUUUUCCAGGCAAAUCCGGAAAAUCAAGGCUGAGGCGUGAUGACGAGGCACUACGGUGCUGAAGCAACAAAUGCCCUGCUUCCAGGAAAAGCCUCUAAGCAUCAGGUAACAUCAAAUCGUACCCCAAACCGACACAGGUGGUCAGGUAGAGAAUACCAAGGCGCUUGAGAGAACUCGGGUGAAGGAACUAGGCAAAAUGGUGCCGUAACUUCGGGAGAAGGCACGCUGACACGUAGGUGAAGUGAUUUACUCAUGGAGCUGAAGUCAGUCGAAGAUACCAGCUGGCUGCAACUGUUUAUUAAAAACACAGCACUGUGCAAACACGAAAGUGGACGUAUACGGUGUGACGCCUGCCCGGUGCCGGAAGGUUAAUUGAUGGGGUCAGCGCAAGCGAAGCUCCUGAUCGAAGCCCCGGUAAACGGCGGCCGUAACUAUAACGGUCCUAAGGUAGCGAAAUUCCUUGUCGGGUAAGUUCCGACCUGCACGAAUGGCGUAAUGAUGGCCAGGCUGUCUCCACCCGAGACUCAGUGAAAUUGAACUCGCUGUGAAGAUGCAGUGUACCCGCGGCAAGACGGAAAGACCCCGUGAACCUUUACUAUAGCUUGACACUGAACAUUGAGCCUUGAUGUGUAGGAUAGGUGGGAGGCUUUGAAGUGUGGACGCCAGUCUGCAUGGAGCCGACCUUGAAAUACCACCCUUUAAUGUUUGAUGUUCUAACGUGGACCCGUUACCCGGGUUGCGGACAGUGUCUGGUGGGUAGUUUGACUGGGGCGGUCUCCUCCUAAAGAGUAACGGAGGAGCACGAAGGUUGGCUAAUCCUGGUCGGACAUCAGGAGGUUAGUGCAAUGGCAUAAGCCAGCUUGACUGCGAGCGUGACGGCGCGAGCAGGUGCGAAAGCAGGUCAUAGUGAUCCGGUGGUUCUGAAUGGAAGGGCCAUCGCUCAACGGAUAAAAGGUACUCCGGGGAUAACAGGCUGAUACCGCCCAAGAGUUCAUAUCGACGGCGGUGUUUGGCACCUCGAUGUCGGCUCAUCACAUCCUGGGGCUGAAGUAGGUCCCAAGGGUAUGGCUGUUCGCCAUUUAAAGUGGUACGCGAGCUGGGUUUAGAACGUCGUGAGACAGUUCGGUCCCUAUCUGCCGUGGGCGCUGGAGAACUGAGGGGGGCUGCUCCUAGUACGAGAGGACCGGAGUGGACGCAUCACUGGUGUUCGGGUUGUCAUGCCAAUGGCACUGCCCGGUAGCUAAAUGCGGAAGAGAUAAGUGCUGAAAGCAUCUAAGCACGAAACUUGCCCCGAGAUGAGUUCUCCCUGAGACUUAGAGUCUCCUGAAGGAACGUUGAAGACGACGACGUUGAUAGGCCGGGUGUGUAAGCGCAGCGAUGCGUUGAGCUAACCGGUACUAAUGAACCGUGAGGCUUAACCUUACAACGCCG
rnacentral:rRNA from 1 species